rnacentral:rRNA from 1 species
AUUGAACGCUGGCGGCAGGCCUAACACAUGCAAGUCGAACGGUAACAGGAAGAAGCUUGCUUCUUUGCUGACGAGUGGCGGACGGGUGAGUAAUGUCUGGGAAACUGCCUGAUGGAGGGGGAUAACUACUGGAAACGGUAGCUAAUACCGCAUAACGUCGCAAGACCAAAGAGGGGGACCUUCGGGCCUCUUGCCAUCGGAUGAGCCCAGAUGGGAUUAGCUAGUAGGUGGGGGAACGGCUCACCUAGGCGACGAUCCCUAGCUGGUCUGAGAGGAUGACCAGCCACACUGGAACUGAGACACGGUCCAGACUCCUACGGGAGGCAGCAGUGGGGAAUAUUGCGCAAUGGGCGCAAGCCUGAUGCAGCCAUGCCGCGUGUAUGAAGAAGGCCUUCGGGUUGUAAAGUACUUUCAGCGGGGAGGAAGGGAGUAAAGUUAAUACCUUUGCUCAUUGACGUUACCCGCAGAAGAAGCACCGGCUAACUCCGUG